UGGGGGAUAUUGCACAAUGGGCGAAAGCCUGAUGCAGCGACGCCGCGUGGGGGAUGAAGGCCUUCGGGUUGUAAACUUCUUUUGCUCUGAACAAGGCAUGCCUUUGGGGUGUGUUGAGUGUAGGGGUUGAUUAGCGCCGGCUAACUACGUGCCAGCAGCCGCGGUAAUACGUAGGGCGCGAGCGUUGUCCGGAAUUAUUGUGCGUAAAGGGCUUGUAGGUGGCUGGUUGCGUCUGUCGUGAAAGCUCAUGGCUUAACUGUGGGUUUGCGGUGGGUACGGGCUGGCUUGAGUGCAGUAGGGGAGGCUGGAAUUCCUGGUGUAGCGGUGGAAUGCGCAGAUAUCAGGAGGAAUACCGGUGGCGAAGGCGGGUCUCUGGGCUGUUACUGACGCUGAGGAGCGAAAGCGUGGGGAGCGAACAGG
rnacentral:rRNA from 1 species